rnacentral:rRNA from 1 species
CCUACGGGAGGCAGCAGUGGGGAAUAUUGGACAAUGGGCGAAAGCCUGAUCCAGCCAUGCCGCGUGUGUGAAGAAGGUCUUCGGAUUGUAAAGCACUUUAAGUUGGGAGGAAGGGCAGUUACCUAAUACGUAUCAGUUUUGACGUUACCGACAGAAUAAGCACCGGCUAACUCUGUGCCAGCAGCCGCGGUAAU